rnacentral:rRNA from 1 species
GGCGGCGUGCCUAACACAUGCAAGUCGAACGAGAAAGGGACUUCGGUCCUGAGUAUAGUGGCGCACGGGUGAGUAACACGUGACUAAUCUACCCUCGAGUGGGGAAUAACUGAGAGAAAUCUUAGCUAAUACCGCAUAACACUUACGAGUCAAAGCAGCAAUGCGCUUGGGGAGGAGGUCGCGGCCGAUUAGCUAGUUGGCGGGGUAAUGGCCCACCAAGGCGAUGAUCGGUAUCCGGCCUGAGAGGGCGCACGGACACACUGGAACUGAAACACGGUCCAGACUCCUACGGGAGGCAGCAGUGGGGAAUUUUGCGCAAUGGGGGAAACCCUGACGCAGCAACGCCGCGUGGAGGAUGAAGUAUCUCGGUACGUAAACUCCUUUCGAUGGGGAAGAUAAUGACGGUACCCAUAGAAGAAGCCCCGGCUAACUUCGUGCCAGCAGCCGCGGUAAUACGAGGGGGGCAAGCGUUGUUCGGAUUUAUUGGGCGUAAAGGGUGCGUAGGCGGUUUGGCAAGUCUUGUGUGAAAUCUAUGGGCUCAACCCAUAGCCUGCACGA